UGGGGAAUUUUGCGCAAUGGGCGAAAGCCUGACGCAGUAACGCCGCGUGGAGGAUGAAGGCCUUCGGGUUGUAAACUCCUGUCAGGGGGAACGACGGAGAAAGGGUGACAAACCUUUUCCUCCAGACGGUACCUCCAAAGGAAGCCCCGGCUAAUUCCGUGCCAGCAGCCGCGGUAAUACGGAAGGGGCGAGCGUUGUUCGGAAUCAUUGGGCGUAAAGGGCGCGUAGGUGGUUCUGUAUGUCUACCGUGAAAGCGUACGGCUCAACCGUAUUUUGUCGGUAGAAACUGCAGGACUUGAGGCUGGGAGGGGCUGGUGGAAUUCCCUGUGUAGCGGUGAAAUGCGUAGAGAUGGGGGAGAACACUCGUGGCGAAGGCGGCCAGCUAGACCAGUUCUGACACUGAGGCGCGACAGCGUGGGGAGCAAA
rnacentral:rRNA from 1 species